UACGUAGGGUCCGAGCGUUAAUCGGAAUUACUGGGCGUAAAGCGUGCGCAGGCGGUUUUGUAAGCCAGAUGUGAAAGCCCCGGGCUCAACCUGGGAACUGCAUUUGGGACUGCAAGGCUGGAGUACGGCAGAGGGAGGUGGAAUUCCACGUGUAGCAGUGAAAUGCGUAGAGAUGUGGAGGAACACCGAUGGCGAAGGGCAGCCUCCUG
rnacentral:rRNA from 1 species